UAACCCCGCGCCCGCGGUUGCACCGGAGAGAGGCGGGGCGGAGGCCGCUAGGCCCCACUCGCGGCACAGCCGCCCUCCACCUGCUCCCCAGGCCGCCGCGCCCCGCACCCUCGCGGCGCGUGUACCCCACCGAGGCGCCCAGGCGGCUCCGACUCGGGGGUGAGUCUGGAGUCCCCACAGACUCUGGCCUCCCGCUUGUACCCCUCCUACCUGCUGGCCUCGGCUGCUGCCCUGGUCCCAUGAGAUCCAACCCAGGGCCGCGGGGCUAAGUCCUUGAAGGUCUCAGACUGGGGCACAGGGGAGUGGCCGGGGGCUCAGACCCCAGCGCGACCGAGCCUGGGACCUGCGGCUGCCCUGGCCUCCCCGCCAGGCCUCUGCGGGAGAGGCAGCCAGGCUUUCGGAAUGCUGCUCUGGCACUGACGCCCAUGGGGGUAGGGGACUGGCCGUGCUGGCAGGAGGCUGCAGAAGACCGGUGCCAGGCCAAGCAGGCAGCAGGGUGGGGACGGCGAGGCGAGGGGCCUGUGGACCCAGGGAAUGGCUGGGUGCCAUUGCUGGGCUGUUCCCUGGGGAUUGUCACGAAGAGGCCUUUCUGCAACCCCCACUGAGUGCUGUGCGUCUUGGUCACUGUCAGCACGCUGUCCCAUCCUCACCUCUCCUGCUGGGAGUGCUCUGAGUCACAUGCUCGCCGUCCCAGCCAGCUGCAGGAGCCCCAGCAGGCACCUGAGCCUGGGCAGCAGGACCCAUGUUCAGGUGUUCGAGGGAACGGGACAGAGAGGGGCCCUGGGGAGGCGUGGACAGCCCUAUGGUCUUCUGUGACACACAGGGCCUCCCGAAGGUACGGGCUGGGGGCGGGGCGGUGUACACGGCCAGGUGGGAGUGAGGACAGACACUGGAGAAGUCAGGGUAGGGACUCCAUGUGCUGACCGUCUGGACCCUGCACUGCCUUCCAGCUCCUCCUCCCAAUGCGCCUCACCUGGCCCAAGGUGGGUCCUGGCACUGACCUGGGAGCUGGCAGGGACUGUGGACCCAUUGGCUGGACAGACACCACCACCCAGGGCCAGCAGCAGCCAGGUCACUUUGGGUCCUUCCUGGCUUUCUCUGAAGUUGUGGCAGAUUGAGGUCUUUGGAGGCCCUGGUGACCUGGGGCUGGGCCACUGCGGGGCAGAAUCCUCUCCAGGCUGGGCUGGGCGGAGCUCUCAGGUCUGGCCACACCCCUCAGGGCUGAGAUGGACAGGUAUGGUUCCACAUUGCAGCAUAGUUUGUCCUAAGAGCCUGGGUCACGCCUUUGGUCACCCUGUGGCCUCAGAGUCCUGCCCUGUGGAAGACAGCCACCAGCCCAGGCCAGCAUGGGUUCUUCCUGCGGCAUGCAGACCUGAAGCAAUGUGGCUGUAGAUGGGGCUGGGGUCUCCAAGAGGUACAAGUACUCGUCGCUGGCUCCAAACUCGGCAUGGCCGCAGCAAGCAAGCAAGCGCUGCUGUGACCUUUUGCCAAACCCCUGGGAAAGAACAGGCCACCAAAGCCCUUCCCUGUGUGGCUGCAGUAGGCUCCCUUAGCCUUGCACCCAGAAGGUAGUGCACAAGGUGAGAACAAGUGUCUUACAGGGCACCCAGCUCCUCCUCUAUAAUUUUAAACCAAAACCUUCCGAUUUGAGAGCCCAUUGUUAAUUAAAUUCAUUAUCUGAAGUGAGAAGCGGGCUGCAUUUACCAAGAAAC
ensembl:lincRNA